UAAUAGCCUACCAAGGCUUCGAUCAGUAGCUGGUCUGAGAGGACGACCAGCCACACUGGAACUGAGACACGGUCCAGACUCCUACGGGAGGCAGCAGUGGGGAAUUUUGGACAAUGGGCGCAAGCCUGAUCCAGCCAUUCCGCGUGAGUGAAGAAGGCCUUCGGGUUGUAAAGCUCUUUCGCAAGGGAAGAAAACUUACACAAUAACACUGUGUGAGGCUGACGGUACCUUGAUAAGAAGCACCGGCUAACUACGUGCCAGCAGCCGCGGUAAUACGUAGGGUGCGAGCGUUAAUCGGAAUUACUGGGCGUAAAGCGUGCGCAGGCGGUUUGGCAAGUCAGAUGUGAAAUCCCCGAGCUCAACUUGGGAACUGCGUUUGAAACUGCCAGACUAGAAUAUGUCAGAGGGGGGUAGAAUUCCACGUGUAGCAGUGAAAUGCGUAGAGAUGUGGAGGAAUACCAAUGGCGAAGGCAGCCCCCUGGGAUAAUAUUGACGCUCAUGCACGAAAG
rnacentral:rRNA from 1 species